CGUGGUGCUGUGCGGCGAGCGGCGGCAGGAGCGGCCGCGACUCCAUCCGGGUCUCGGCACGGCUCCGGGUCACCCUGCGGCAGCUCUCCUCCAGACUAACUUGAAGGCCCGGAAGUGCCGCCCCCGGGCGCUCCGGAGUGGUGGGUCGGCCCCGCCGCCCGAUGGGGAUAGGCCGCGGAUGCCGUCAGCGCCUGGCUCUGUUCUCAAGAUGUCCUUGCUAAGAAGGGGACUGGAAGGCACGCAUCUGGCUGGCAA